CCCUUCACUCUGGGACAAGCCCUGGAAACGGGGUCUAAUACCGGAUGACACUCCUACUCGCAUGGGUGGGGGUUGAAAGCUCCGGCGGUGAAGGAUGAGCCCGCGGCCUAUCAGCUUGUUGGUGAGGUAGUGGCUCACCAAGGCGACGACGGGUAGCCGGCCUGAGAGGGCGACCGGCCACACUGGGACUGAGACACGGCCCAGACUCCUACGGGAGGCAGCAGUGGGGAAUAUUGCACAAUGGGCGAAAGCCUGAUGCAGCGACGCCGCGUGAGGGAUGACGGCCUUCGGGUUGUAAACCUCUUUCAGCAGGGAAGAAGCGAAAGUGACGGUACCUGCAGAAGAAGCGCCGGCUAACUACGUGCCAGCAGCCGCGGUAAUACGUAGGGCGCAAGCGUUGUCCGGAAUUAUUGGGCGUAAAGAGCUCGUAGGCGGUCUGUCGCGUCGGAUGUGAAAGCCCGGGGCUUAACCCCGGGUCUGCAUUCGAUACGGGCAGACUAGAGUGUGGUAGGGGAGAUCGGAAUUCCUGGUGUAGCG
rnacentral:rRNA from 1 species